AGAGUUUGAUCCUGGCUCAGGAUGAACGCUGGCGGCGUGCCUAAUACAUGCAAGUCGAGCGAACCACUUCGGUGGGAAGCGGCGAACGGGUGAGUAACACGUAGGUGAUCUGCCCAUCAGACGGGGACAACGAUUGGAAACGAUCGCUAAUACCGGAUAGGACGAAAGUUUAAAGAUGCUUCUGGCAUCACUGAUGGAUGAGCCUGCGGCGCAUUAGCUAGUUGGUGGGGUAAAGGCCUACCAAGGCGACGAUGCGUAGCCGACCUGAGAGGGUGAACGGCCACACUGGGACUGAGACACGGCCCAGACUCCUACGGGAGGCAGCAGUAGGGAAUCUUCGGCAAUGGGCGAAAGCCUGACCGAGCAACGCCGCGUGAAUGAAGAAGGCCUUCGGGUUGUAAAAUUCUGCUAUAAGGGAAGAAAGGUGAUAGGAGGAAAUGACUAUCAAUUGACGGUACCUUAUGAGAAAGCCACGGCUAACUACGUG
rnacentral:rRNA from 1 species